rnacentral:tRNA from 1 species
GGGGUUGUGGCUCAGGGAUAGAGCACUUGCCUAGCAUGUAUGAGGCCUGGGUUUGAUCCUCAGCACCACA